AAAUAAGGGACUGAUCCAAAGUCCACUGAAGUCAAUGGCCAUCUUCCCAUUGGCUUCAACGGGUUUUGGAUCAAGACCUCAUAUU
rnacentral:pre_miRNA from 1 species